rnacentral:rRNA from 1 species
CGAACGGCUCAUUACAACAGCUAUAAUUUACUUGAUCUUGACAUCCUACUUGGAUAACUGUGGUAAUUCUAGAGCUAAUACAUGCACCAAAGCUCCAACCCGCAAGGGAAGAGCGCAUUUAUUAGAACAAAACCAUAGGGCUUCGGCCCUCAAACGCUGACUCAGAAUAACUAAGCUGAUCGCAUGGUCUUGUACCGGCGACGUGUCUUUCAAGUAUCUGCCUUAUCAACUUUCGAUGGUACUGUCAUUGACUACCAUGGUGGUGACGGGUAACGGAGGAUCAGGGUUCGACUCCGGAGAAGGGGCCUGAGAAAUGGCCACUACGUCUAAGGAUGGCAGCAGGCGCGCAAAUUACCCACUCUCAGUACAAAACGAGGAGGUAGUGACGAGAAAUAACGAGACCGUUCUCAACAGAGGCCGGUCAUCGGAAUGGGUACAAUUUAAACCCUUUAACGAGUAUCUACGAGAGGGCAAGUCUGGUGCCAGCAGCCGCGGUAAUUCCAGCUCUCGAAAUGCAUAGAAUUAUUGCUGCGGUUAAAAAGCUCGUAGUUGGAUCUGUGCUAACACGCUGGUCCAUCUUCGGAUGCGUACUAGUUGUGUUGGCUUUUCUGCAGUUUGUCGGCCUGUGCCCUUAACGGGGUGCAGUGUCCGGUGCUGCAAGUUUACUUUGAACAAAUCAGAGUGCUCUAAACAGGCGUUUCGCUUGAAUGUUCGUGCAUGGAAUAAUAGAAGAGGAUUUCGGUUCUAUUUUAUUGGUUUUAUAGACUGAGAUAAUGGUUAACAGAGACAAACGGGGGCAUUCGUAUUGCUACGUGAGAGGUGAAAUUCUUGGACCGUAGCAAGACGAACUACAGCGAAA